rnacentral:rRNA from 1 species
AUACCAGCACAAAUGCACCGGAUCCCAUCAGAACUCUGCACUUAAGUGUGCUUGGGUGAGAGUAGUACUAGGAUGGUUGAUCUCUUGGGAAGUCCUCGUGUUGCACCGC